AACGAACGCUGGCGGAAUGCUUUACACGUGCAAGUCGAACGGUAGAGGGGGCAACCCCUUGAGAGUGGCGAACGGGUGAGUAAUAUAUCGGAACGUGCCCAGUCGUGGGGGAUAACGUAGCGAAAGUUACGCUAAUACCGCAUACGAUCUAAGGAUGAAAGCGGGGGAUCGCAAGACCUCGCGCGAUUGGAGCGGCCGAUAUCAGAUUAGGUAGUUGGUGAGGUAAUGGCUCACCAAGCCAACGAUCUGUAGCUGGUCUGAGAGGACGACCAGCCACACUGGAACUGAGACACGGUCCAGACUCCUACGGGAGGCAGCAGUGGGGAAUUUUGGACAAUGGACGCAAGUCUGAUCCAGCCAUUCCGCGUGCAGGAUGAAGGCCCUCGGGUUGUAAACUGCUUUUGUACGGAACGAAAGGUUUGUCUUAAUACGAUGAGCUCAUGACGGUACCGUAAGAAUAAGCACCGGCUAACUACGUGCCAGCAGCCGC
rnacentral:rRNA from 1 species